GAUGAACGCUAGCGGGAGGCUUAACACAUGCAAGUCGAGGGGCAGCAUAGGGUAGCAAUACUCUGAUGGCGACCGGCAAACGGGUGAGUAACGCGUAUGCAACCUACCCUGUACAGGGGGAUAACCCGGAGAAAUUCGGACUAAUAUCCCGUAAUAAUAUCCGGAGGCAUCUUUGGAUGUUUAAAGUUUCGACGGUACGGGAUGGGCAUGCGUAACAUUAGCUGGUUGGUAAGGUAACGGCUUACCAAGGCUAUGAUGUUUAGGGGUCCUGAGAGGGUGGUCCCCCACACUGGUACUGAGACACGGACCAGACUCCUACGGGAGGCAGCAGUGAGGAAUAUUGGUCAAUGGGCGCAAGCCUGAACCAGCCAUCCCGCGUGCAGGAAGACGGCCCUAUGGGUUGUAAACUGCUUUUCCAGGGAGAGAAACUUACGCACGUGUUGCGUGACUGACGGUACCCUGGGAAUAAGCAUCGGCUAACUCCGUG
rnacentral:rRNA from 1 species